AGUGAACGCUGGCGGUAGGCCUAACACAUGCAAGUCGAACGGCAGCACAGUAAGAGCUUGCUCUUACGGGUGGCGAGUGGCGGACGGGUGAGGAAUACAUCGGAAUCUACUUUUUCGUGGGGGAUAACGUAGGGAAACUUACGCUAAUACCGCAUACGACCUACGGGUGAAAGCAUGGGAUCUUCGGACCUUGCGCGAUUGAAUGAGCCGAUGUCGGAUUAGCUAGUUGGCGGGGUAAAGGCCCACCAAGGCGACGAUCCGUAGCUGGUCUGAGAGGAUGAUCAGCCGCACUGGAACGGAGACAGGGACCAGACUCCUACGGGAGGCAGCAGUGGGGAAUAUUAGACAAUGGGCGCAAGCCUGAUCCAGCCAUACCGCGUGGGUGAAGAAGGCCUUCGGGUUGUAAAGCCCUUUUGUUGGGAGAGAAAAGCAGCAGGUUAAUACCCCGCUGUUCUGACGGUACCCAAAGAAUAAGCACCGGCUAACUUCGUG
rnacentral:rRNA from 1 species